rnacentral:rRNA from 1 species
AACGAACGCUGGCGGCAGGCCUAACACAUGCAAGUCGAGCGGACCCUUCGGGGUUAGCGGCGGACGGGUGAGUAACGCGUGGGAAUAUGCCCUUCUCUACGGAAUAGUCCUGGGAAACUGGGGGUAAUACCGUAUACGCCCUUUGGGGGAAAGAUUUAUCGGGGAAGGAUUAGCCCGCGUUGGAUUAGGUAGUUGGUGGGGUAAUGGCCUACCAAGCCGACGAUCCAUAGCUGGUUUGAGAGGAUGAUCAGCCACACUGGGACUGAGACACGGCCCAGACUCCUACGGGAGGCAGCAGUGGGGAAUCUUAGACAAUGGGGGCAACCCUGAUCUAGCCAUGCCGGGUGAGUGAUGAAGGCCUUAGGGUUGUAAAGCUCUUUCAGCUGGGAAGAUAAUGACGGUACCAGCAGAAGAAGCCCCGGCUAACUCCGUG